rnacentral:rRNA from 1 species
AACGCGAAGAACCUUACCAGGGCUUGACAUGGAUCUGCAUCCCCGUGAAAGCGGGUGGCCUUCGAGGGUGAUCCACAGGUGCUGCAUGGCUGUCGUCAGCUCGUGUCGUGAGAUGUUGGGUUAAGUCCCGCAACGAGCGCAACCCUUGUGUCCAGUUGCGAUUUUCUGGACAGACUGCCGGGAGCAAACCGGAGGAAGGUGGGGAUGAUGUCAAGUCAGCAUGGCCCUUACGCCCUGGGCGAGAAGCACGCUACAAUGGCCAGGACAGAGGGUUGCCAAACGGUAACGUGGAGCUAAUCCCACAAACCUGGUCUCAGUUCGGAUCGUGGGCUGCAACUCGCCCACGUGAAGGUGGAGUCGCUAGUAACCGCAGGUCAGCAGUACUGCGGUGAAUAUGUUCCCGGGCCUUGUACACACCG